GAACGGAGUACAUUAUUGUAGCAAUACAGUGGUGUACUUAGUGGCGGACGGGUGAGUAACACGUAGGUAACCUGCCCUCAAGCGGGGGACAACACCGCGAAAGUGGUGCUAAUACCGCAUAAGACCACGGACUGGGAUGUCAGUGGUAAAAGUAGCAAUACACUUGAGGAUGGGCCUGCGGCCUAUCAGGUAGUUGGUGGGGUAACGGCCCACCAAGCCUAAGACGGGUAGCCGGGCUGAGAGGUUGGACCGCCACACUGGAACUGAUACUCCGUCCACACUCCUACGGGAGGCACCAUCGGG
rnacentral:sRNA from 1 species